GGUGCUGCGGUGCUAGAGCGCGGCGCGACCAGACGCUGCGGGCGGGGAAGAGAAUGGAGGCUGUAGCGUCCGCUGCAACGGUUGGGGCUGCGCGUGAGAAGGUGGCGGUGUAGGCACCUGCGCUCGGGGAAGGCUGGCGGCGGCGGCCGGGCCAUGGCGGGAGACCCCCUUCUCUGGGCUCCCUGAAGUCUCGGGGAGCCGUGACCCAUGGGAUCGUUGAGCAGCCGGGUGCUGCGCCAGCCAAGACCAGCCCUUGCCCAGCAGGCGCAGGGUGCCAGGGCGGGGGGCUCGGCCCGGAGGCCGGACACUGGAGACGAUGCGGCGGGCCACGGAUUCUGUUACUGUGCGGGCAGCCACAAGCGCAAGCGGAGCAGGGGGUCCUUCUGCUACUGUCACCCUGACUCGGAGACGGACGAGGAUGAGGAGGAGGGGGACGAGCAGCAGCGGCUCCUCAACACCCCUCGAAGGAAAAAAUUAAAGAGUACAUCUAAAUAUAUUUAUCAAACAUUAUUUUUGAAUGGUGAAAACAGUGACAUUAAGAUUUGUGCUCUAGGAGAAGAAUGGAGCUUACACAAAAUAUAUUUAUGUCAAUCUGGCUACUUUUCUAGUAUGUUCAGUGGUUCUUGGAAAGAAUCCAGCAUGAAUAUUAUUGAACUGGAGAUUCCUGACCAGAACAUUGAUGUAGAAGUGCUCUUGCUGCUCCCUUCAUUGGUGGUCCACAUGGAAGUACCUGGUGCGAUACAAAGGCAAAGAAAUACUUUAGUUAAGAAUAUUUACAGCCUGUAAUCCCAGCACGUUGGGAGGCCGA
rnacentral:sRNA from 1 species